GCCUGGGUGGCUCAGUUGGUUAAGCGGCCGACUUCGGCUCGGUCAUGAUCUCGCGGUCUGUGGGUUCGAGCCCCACGUCAGGCU
rnacentral:tRNA from 1 species